GGCUCAAUGGUCUAGACGUAUGAUACACGCUUCGGGUUAUCCCGGGAUUCAUUGUGUAAUCCCAGUUUGUGUGUGGUCCCGGGUUCAAUUCCCGGUUGGGCCC